GAGUAGCAGAGAGAAGGUUUCCUAUAAAUACAGAAACACAUUUCCCCGUUACCUUUCUGCAGGGUUAGUUAGCUAGUUCAUCUAGGCAUCCAGGCAAAGCUAAGAUUCUCUCUCCCUAAAAGGUCUCGGUCCUUCCCUUCCUUCUUAGGAAGCUAACAAGUCCUAGACCUCUGACCUCUGAGGGUGACUGGCACUUUUAUGACUUUUUCAAAGGUCCAUAGCACUUAAGGGAAAAAAUGACAACCAACUGCUUACAGGACGAGCAAAAUUCGAUUUCCUCUUAUCCUCUGAGAAUGAUUGACACUGUCUCAUUGGACUUUCGGUGAGGAAGGAGAACGCUGGGUGUACGUAUAAGUGGGAAGAAGAGCACCGGGGCAAGGGGCAGGGGGAGGGGGAGGGGAACACCUGGCAAGGGUAGGGCCCUCUAAGCCGAGAUCGGUCUCGGACAUUUGUUCCGGCAAUACUAACCAGACCCCACCGUGCCGCCCCCCAGCCUGCCCCAGGGAUCAUCGAUAAUACGGCCUGGCUCUGGAGCAGGGCUCCAGGCUCAAGCGGACCGGGGCCAGCUGUACUCCCUGCCGAGGUACUUUCUCCGCGCGCUUGCUGCGCUGCCCGUCCCGUCUCCCUCCCGAUCCGCUUGGCCAACCACUACGUGCCACCUGUGUCCUCCCGGAUUGCAAGUUUCAUCUCGGCCGGAAACUCUUACUCUUUCGACCAACGCUUCAAAGAGAUGGUCUCGUUCGCACUCGUUCUGCGCCUAGGCCGGACACAGUGGUGGGCGUGCAGGCGUCUCCCUUAUAGACUGCCGGCUCCUCCCGACGGAAGGGGGCUGCCUGCUCCGGGCCGGCUUCUCGUACCCAAGCUCCACCGAAGUGCCGGCGGGGCUUGGGAACACCCGGUGCAAAUCGGUUAGUUUUCAGGCUUUCAGAUGACUUAACACGUGCAAAGUGCGCUCUCCAAACUUUGUAGCUACUGCUAAGCCCAAAUAGAAUGGAAGCCUCCUGAGGCCAGGGUCCUGCCUAAACUUGGUAGCUCCGACAUUUGCCUCCCGGAGGGCUUUCUGUCUUCUCGUUAAACUUCCCUCAAUGUAUUGUCAAACAAAAAAAACCACAACCACCCAAGCAGUUACUAAAGAACAACAGCACCAGGGAGACAGUGAUCUGAUGGCUCCACGCCAUACAGAACCGGGAAAAGCACCAAGAAUGGGACUUUUCACUGAACGGUAGCACUCUUAGGGAGCACAUGAAAGGAAGGACAACUGAUUGGCUGGGGAAAGAGGAUUCUAGCUAGAGGCUAGAAUCCCUGGGAGAGGCCCAGAUACAACAGGUUCCUCUAACCUAGAAGACAAGGGCAACUAGUCCUAUCUGGGUGAUAGAUGGCACUUCAUGUUUAUUGUUCCAUCUAGGACAAAAUCUGCCCAUCUUCUCUAGGGUGAUCUUGGGGAGCUUGAGGGUUUUCUUCAACCAGGUUUGUCUGUAUUUAUGUUUGGUUGUUUAUACGUUUAAUUGUGAUAGUAUAGUGUUUCUUUAGCCCGCGAGGCAGCCAGGUAAGCAGAUCCUGGGGCUUGGAACUGGGAAGUCCUGAGUUGAAAUUCUGCCUCAGACAAAUGAUCCAAGACCUCAUUAGGGGACCACCACUGUCCCAGGAAAGAUGCCAUUACUGGGAAUUUCAACUGAACCAUAAAACUCAGGGUCCUAAAUAUACUUUUUAAGGAGACUGAGGAAAAACAUGAGUUUAUUGAAUUUUGGGAAAGAAGGGAUUAGCUGCUGUCUCUAUCUUAAAAUUUAAGAUCUAGCCAGAGGUACCUGGUAGCAGCCUGGAUACAAUAGGAGAAUAAGUAACUGAAAAAGUACUGAAAAUUUGAUUGCAUCUGCUAAUAAUGCUAGGGUGGACAAGGGGUGCUUAAGGGUUUCAGUCUGGGACAAGGGUCAGUCUAGGGGUUUCUUGAAGACAGGUUAUUAGGGAUAAGGGGCUAUUUGGGGUUUUAGAAAACUAGGUUGUCAGGAUUAAUGAUAUAUAGCACUUAUCUUACAGUGUGAGGAUCAUAUAACUUAAAAUGUAGUGUUUUUGUAAAGUUAUAAAAUGCUUAUUAUUACUAUUAUUAUCCAUGCUGUCAAAUAUAAAAUACAUUCUGUUCAUAAGAUCAUAGGAAGGGACUUUAGAGGCCAUUAGAUCCAACUCCCUCAUUUUACAAAUGAGGAAAGUGAGGCCAAGAGAGAUUCAAGUGAUUUGCCCAGUCUUACAGCUUUCAGGGAAGAAUUGAAUUCAUACCUUCCUGACUUUAAAUUCAGUACUUUAUUCUAUACGUUCUUAUCUAUAGAAAUAAAAAUUCAGACAAGAAAUUUAUGUAUUGUUGUUCAGUUGGGUCUGACCCUUCAUGGCCCAUUUCAGGUUUUCUUAAUAAACAUUCUCAAGUUGUUUGCCA